AAGGAGGAAACCCAUCCUCCUCUGGUCAGCUCAAGUAGACGUCUGAGACCGGGGCCCCACCACGACAGCGAGAAAGAACACGUAAAGGCAGAGAAAGGCUGAAAAGCGACUGUGUGGUUUCAUUUCUUUUGUCUUUGUUGUAUUAGUGUAUUGUUUUUGCCCAGAUCCCCUGAGGGUGACGGGCAAAGGUUUUCCUGUUUGUUUGUGUUGGCGGCUGAUUACACCCUCUCUCGCUAUUCGAGAUUAAAACGCUGUAGUUAUCCGGAA